UAGGGCAGUCAUAUAUCCCUUGCUUGGUUC
rnacentral:piRNA from 1 species